CCCCCCACCAACCCCCCCCCCCCCAAGGAAGAAGACCUGGAGGAGACUGCAGGAUUCGUUCCCGCGCUGCCUUUUUUUAUGAAUGAAAAAUAAAACUCCAGGCCACGCCCCCUUCCUUCGAGCGUCAGCCAA